ACGCUCGUAGCUCAAUUGGCAGAGCAGGAUCCUUCUAAGGUCUUGGUUGGGGGUUCGAGUCCCUUCGGGCGUGCCA
rnacentral:tRNA from 1 species